UGAAAAACUCCAAUAUCAACAAAACAACCCAAAGCCCAAAUUACAAUAUUCUCUUUCACGGUUCUUUCACCGGUCAAAGAUCUUCGAAAAACAUAUUUCCUCAAAUAUUACUAUCCUUCUCAAAUUAACAAUGAUCCUCUUUUUAACUUCCAAUAUCUUUAUAUAUAAGCUGAUGCGUGCACAAACAACUUCCAAUCUAACUACAACUGGGAUUCUCAUCAAGCUUAGGCUUUUUAUCAUCGAUUAAUAGGUUCACCUGGAUCAAGCUACUGAAGAGACAUGACCAAAAUAAGCUCUACUCAUAAAUGACUUGAGUUCAAGCUUCAAGAUACUGCUAGAGUUUGCCACACCACCAAGUUAAGGAAAUGCCCUUUUGCACAAGUAAAGAGACUACUAGAGAGCAUGUCAUACAUGUGGUUGAACAACCCACAGAGAGAGAGAGAGAGAGAGAGGACAAUUAAAAUAAGAAAAAGUAAAGGAAGCAUUGGAGAAAAAAGAGGCAGCCAUAGCCAGAGGGUUCGUGUCGGCUUCAACCAAACACUGACGGUGUAAAACGUAUCCAAAGUUAAACAGAUUCUCAAAUGGCGGCUAGCAAUCAUCCAUCUGGAAACCUGGAGG